UUAUCCGGAUUUACUGGGUGUAAAGGGAGUGUAGACGGAGCAGCAAGUCUGAUGUGAAAACCCGGGGCUCAACCCCGGGACUGCAUUGGAAACUGUUGAUCUGGAGUGCCGGAGAGGUAAGCGGAAUUCCUAGUGUAGCGGUGAAAUGCGUAGAUAUUAGGAGGAACACCAGUGGCGAAGGCGGCUUACUGGACGGUAACUGACGUUGAGGCUCGAAAGCGUGGGGAGCAAACAGGAUUAGAUACCCUGGUAGUCCACGCCGUAUUCGAUGACUACUAGGUGUCGGGUGGCACAGCCAUUC
rnacentral:rRNA from 1 species